CAGGGAUUGCCUCAGUAACGGCGAGUGAAGCGGCAACAGCUCAAAUUUGAAAUCUGGCCCCUUGGGGGUCCGAGUUGUAAUUUGUAGAGGGUGUUUCGGGCGCGAUGCCGGUCUAAGUUCCUUGGAACAGGACGUCGUAGAGGGUGAGAAUCCCGUAUGCGACCGGCGAUCAAGCCUGUGUGAAGCCCCUUCGACGAGUCGAGUUGUUUGGGAAUGCAGCUCAAAAUGGGUGGUAAAUUUCAUCUAAAGCUAAAUAUUGGCCAGAGACCGAUAGCGGACAAGUAGAGUGAUCGAAAGAUGAAAAGCACUUUGGAAAGAGAGUCAAACAGUACGUGAAAUUGUUGAAAGGGAAGCGCUUGCAAUCAGACCGGUCCGGAGGCGAUCAGCCGCUGCUCGUCAGCGGUGCACUCGCCUGCGAUCCGGCCAGCAUCGGUUCGGGCGGCGGGAUAAAAGUCCCGGGAAUGUAGCUUCUUUCGGGGAGUCUUAUAGCCCGGGUCGCAAUGCCGCCCGCCCGGACCGAGGACCGCGCUUCGGCUAGAAUGCUGGCGUAAUGGUUGCAAGCGACCCGUCUUGAAACACGGACCAAGGAGUCUAACAUCUAUGCGAGUGUUUGGGUGUCAAACCCAGGCGCGGAAUGAAAGUGAACGGAGGUGGGAACCCGUCAGACGGCGCACCAUCGACCGAUCCAGAUGUCUUCGGAUGGAUUUGAGUAUGAGCAUAGCUGUUGGGACCCGAAAGAUGGUGAACUAUGCCCGGAUAGGGUGAAGCCAGAGGAAACUCUGGUGGAGGCUCGCAGCGGUUCUGACGUGCAAAUCGAUCGUCAAAUCUAGGCAUAGGGGCGAAAGACCAAUCGAACCAUCUAG
rnacentral:rRNA from 1 species